rfam:Jatropha curcas cultivar GZQX0401 scaffold20_44, whole genome shotgun sequence.
CUGCCUUAAACUAAUGAGUAAGGAAAACAAAGCGAGUGGUGAGAGCUGCUCGCAGCGCCGAUAAUUUAAUGUGCGCAAGAAUUUUUGGAGGGGUUGUAGGCUGGCCGAGCGCUGACGCUGCUUACUUUGCAGAACUCGCUUGUGCGGGCCUCCC